UGGGGAAUCUUGCGCAAUGCGCGAAAGCGUGACGCAGCAACGCCGCGUGGGGGAAGAAGGCCUUCGGGUUGUAAACCCCUUUCAGGAGGGACGAAGCCUAGGCCGUUAAUAGCGGUCCUAGGUGACGGUACCUCCAGAAGAAGCCCCGGCUAACUACGUGCCAGCAGCCGCGGUAAUACGUAGGGGGCAAGCGUUGUCCGGAAUUAUUGGGCGUAAAGCGCGUGUAGGCGGUCCGAUAAGUCGGUUGUGAAAGUCCAGGGCUCAACUCUGGAAUGCCGGCCGAUACUGUCGGACUAGAGUCCGGAAGAGGCAAGUGGAAUUCCCGGUGUAGCGGUGAAAUGCGCAGAUAUCGGGAGGAACACCAACGGCGAAGGCAGCUUGCUGGGACGGUACUGACGCU
rnacentral:rRNA from 1 species